UACGGAGGGUGCGAGCGUUUAAUCGGAAUUACUGGGCGUAAAGGGUGCGUAGGUGGUUUGAUAAGUUAGUUGUGAAAGUCCUGGGCUUAACCUGGGAAGGCCAACUAAGACUGUUAGACUUAGAGUAUAGGAGAGGGUAGUGGAAUUUCCGGUGUAGCGGUGAAAUGCGUAGAGAUCGGAAGGAACACCAGUGGCGAAGGCGGCUACCUGGCCUAAUACUGACACUGAGGCACGAAAGCUAGGGGAGCAAACGGG
rnacentral:rRNA from 1 species